AUACGGGAGGCAGCAGUGAGGAAUUUUGGACAAUGGGCGCAAGCCUGAUCCAGCCAUGCCGCGUGUGGGAAGAGGGCCUUCGGGUUGUAAACCACUUUUGUCAGGGAAGAAACGGCUCUUACUAAUAUUGGGAGCUAAUGACGGUACCUGAAGAAUAAGCACCGGCUAACUACGUGCCAGCAGCCGCGGUAAUACGUAGGGUGCAAGCGUUAAUCGGAAUUACUGGGCGUAAAGCGUGCGCAGGCGGCUUUGCAAGACAGAUGUGAAAUCCCCGGGCUCAACCUGGGAACUGCAUUUGUGACUGCAAGGCUAGAGUACGGUAGAGGGGGAUGGAAUCCCGCGUGUAGCAGUGAAAUGCGUAGAUAUGCGGAGGAACACCGAUGGCGAAGGCAAUCCCCUGGACCUGUACUGACGCUCAUGCACGAAAGCGUGGGGAGCAAACAGGAUUAGAUACCCUGGUAGC
rnacentral:rRNA from 1 species